rnacentral:rRNA from 1 species
AUGAACGCUGGCGGCGUGCCUAAUACAUGCAAGUCGAGCGAACGGACGAGAAGCUUGCUUCUCUGAUGUUAGCGGCGGACGGGUGAGUAACACGUGGAUAACCUACCUAUAAGACUGGGAUAACUUCGGGAAACCGGAGCUAAUACCGGAUAAUAUUUUGAACCGCAUGGUUCAAAAGUGAAAGACGGCCUUGCUGUCACUUAUAGAUGGAUCCGCGCUGCAUUAGCUAGUUGGUAAGGUAACGGCUUACCAAGGCAACGAUGCAUAGCCGACCUGAGAGGGUGAUCGGCCACACUGGAACUGAGACACGGUCCAGACUCCUACGGGAGGCAGCAGUAGGGAAUCUUCCGCAAUGGGCGAAAGCCUGACGGAGCAACGCCGCGUGAGUGAUGAAGGUCUUCGGAUCGUAAAACUCUGUUAUUAGGGUAGAACAUAUGUGUAAGUAACUGUGCACAUCUUGACGGUACCUAAUCAGAAAGCCACGGCUAACUACGUG